rnacentral:piRNA from 1 species
UGCCAUCUCUUCUACUUUGUUGAUAGG